rnacentral:tRNA from 1 species
AGGCCGGUAUUUUAGUGGAUAUAAACGCCUGGCUGUUAAUCCGGAGUCGGGGGUUCUAACCCCCUCCAGUCCA